rnacentral:rRNA from 1 species
GUGGGGAAUUUUGGACAAUGGGCGCAAGCCUGAUCCAGCAAUGCCGCGUGCAGGAAGAAGGCCUUCGGGUUGUAAACUGCUUUUGUACGGAACGAAACGGUCCUAGUUAAUACCCGGGGCUAAUGACGGUACCGUAAGAAUAAGCACCGGCUAACUACGUGCCAGCAGCCGCGGUAAUACGUAGGGUGCAAGCGUUAAUCGGAAUUACUGGGCGUAAAGCGUGCGCAGGCGGUGCUGUAAGACAGGCGUGAAAUCCCCGGGCUUAACCUGGGAAUUGCGCUUGUGACUGCAGUGCUGGAGUGCGGCAGAGGGGGAUGGAAUUCCGCGUGUAGCAGUGACAUGCGUAGAUAUGCGGAGGAACACCGAUGGCGAAGGCAAUCCCCUGGGCCUGCACUGACGCUCAUGCACGAAAGCGUGGGGAGCAAACAGGAUUAGAAACCCCAGUAGUCC